GAUGAACGCUGGCGGCGUGCCUAAUACAUGCAAGUCGAGCGAACAGACGAGGAGCUUGCUCCUCUGACGUUAGCGGCGGACGGGUGAGUAACACGUGGAUAACCUACCUAUAAGACUGGGAUAACUUCGGGAAACCGGAGCUAAUACCGGAUAAUAUAUUGAACCGCAUGGUUCAAUAGUGAAAGACGGUUUUGCUGUCACUUAUAGAUGGAUCCGCGCCGCAUUAGCUAGUUGGUAAGGUAACGGCUUACCAAGGCAACGAUGCGUAGCCGACCUGAGAGGGUGAUCGGCCACACUGGAACUGGAACACGGUCCAGGCUCCUACGGGAGGCAGCAGUAGGGAAUCUUCCGCAAUGGGCGAAAGCUUGACGGAGCAACGCCGCGUGAGUGAUAAAGGUCUUCGGAUCGUAAAACUCUGUUAUUAGGGGAGAACAAAUGUGUAAGUAACUAUGCACGUCUUGACGGUACCUAAUCAGAAAGCCACGGCUAACUACGUG
rnacentral:rRNA from 1 species